rnacentral:rRNA from 1 species
AUGGAAUCCCUCACCAUGCUAGUUAGUUGGAACAUUUGGAAUGAGAGGAACACUCGUGUGUUCCAUCACGAGUCAACACCAGCACCGAUCAUCUUUGGCAUCAUCAAAAGGCAAGCUAGGCUAUGAGUUACCGUGGGUGCAAAAAAAAUGGGUAACAUAAUGCAAGGAAAGUAA